CUCGCAUGGGAUCGGUGGACUGACCGAUGUCUCUCGCGGGAGGUAAACGAUCUUACCAGACCAACGACGUUACUCAGGAAUUAAGCAUGAGCUUCAGUAAACUGUAAUUCCGGGCACACUGAGCUUUGCGAGACCAUAAUGCAUUCAUCCCUACAUUGUUGGUGGUUAUAGAUCAAUCGCAAUUAUGCAAUCGAGUUUUGCUGCCUGUUCCCGGCGCAACGGUAAAAAGAAAAAAAAUCAUACGUCGAUGAUUACAGGUUGCAGAGAAAGAAAAACGUAAUUCGAAAGGAUGAAUGUUACGUAGGGGAGAACAUCAAUUAUUUGCUUAAAAUAUGUAGAAUCUAUUAUAGGGAAAUAUGCAUGUUCAGCGAUAGAUGCAGCUAUCGAAGAAUUUGGAAAAACAAAAGCAAUGGAAAGGCAGUAUUGAGAAAAGAGAAACUUGUGAGAAGGUUUAAGCUGUGCAUUGUUACAUUGCAAAUGUAACGUAAAAUUACGUGUAACGUGCUAACUUAUCUUCAUAUAGUUUAUCAAUCAAAUUAGUUUACAACUAAAACUUAUUUACACCUGGAAGUAAAGUAAUUUAAACAAAUAUAUUUUUGCGAGUAGGAAGUACUUUCUGCACGCGAUUUUCUACGUUGUCCUACCGAUUACAUCAUGUGAACAAACAAAUUGCUGAUACUAUAUUUGGACCACACGUAGCAAUCCCUACGAGCCUUAAUACAUUGCAUGCAACACUGAUAUAUACGUAAACGAAGCAGAAGCUUUCAUUACCUGCGUACUUUUUAUGGUAAGCAUUAUAUCGAGCGUGUAUAUGGUACAGAGACGGUAGAAUAUAGUUGCAUUGUAAAUUGUUUACAUAGUCAGCUUUGAAAUUCACUUGAGACACGUUUAAUAUCCAUGAGAAAUUUUAUAUGUAUAAGAAUGGCUCUUAUGCUGGUGAAUCUCUUCGGAGAAAGAUCCAUCAUUUUCCUAGCCAUGAUCGUCAAUCUCUUUUGCGACCUCACAGUCACCAAUAAAAAAGUUCGACAGUGACUGGGCGUCAUAUUGUAGCAGGCAGACGCGUAGACGGUGUCCCCGUGAUUUACUGUGGAAAUUAACUACAGCUGAAUUCUAUGCAUGGCAUAAAAACGAAUCUUCCUCCUAAAACAAUUUAAUUUAAAAAUAAGUUUGUAGAAAUGCAAGUACAAAAUUCUUUAGGUGCAUGGAACGCACCAUCCGUUGGUGCUGCAAUUUAUCUGAGACUAAGACAGAUUAUUCCGCAGACAAGAUAUAGUCUGGAGAAUAUGAUAAGUUUCGCGCUGAGAUACUCUCUGGCGAAGUAGAAGACAAAUGCUUCCAGCGUAAUCGCGACGUAAAAUAAGAUGAAUUUCGUUAAUAUCGCUCUUCCUUGCUUGUUGCCGAUGAUCUAAAUGAAACGGACACAUGAUUACAAGAUGGAUUAAAGGAAGAAGUCUUAACGAGAUAAUCGUUGUUUAUUCAGAUUAAAAUAAUUCACAAUUUUUACUAACGAUGAUUAUCAUGGAUCCUAGACAACAGAUAACCAAGACAAUAUUAGAAGAACUGUAUUAGUGCAUAGAAGAUUGAAGAGAUCUUCGAUAUUAUCAGACAACGUAAUGAUACUUUUGUGUCUUGAGGAUCUUAAGUAAGGACUUUAAACUUCGAUGAGGAGUUCUGAUAACUUUUUGAAGAUACUUUCAUCAAACAUUGCCGUACUAUGUCAAUACUGUAAUGACUACUCACAUGAAGAAUCUACAAGAAGAUCAAUUUUAUUAGUAAAACAUAAAUUAAAAUUAAGCGACCGAAUUUUAUUGCAAAAUGUAAGGAACGCUUUUAAAUUAUCAUAAGAUAGCAAGCGAAAGACUGAUUAGAACUUACCAAUGUAACGGCAAAAGCAUUAAUCAUCGUGACUAGAAACGAGAGAGAUAAUUCGUGGAGAAAUUAAACUAUUACCGUAAUCUUGAAUGGAGGAUUAAUUAACUUCAAAAGAGAAUUCCAUUCUGACGAGAAGAUCGAAUCUGGUCCCGCAAGGAUCGUUUUUCGUUCUUCGUGAAGCAUCUUAGGAAGCUUCUUAGGGCGUAACCGACAGCAUUGAUAGACAUUAAAAUGUUAGAGCACCGACGCGACAGAUUGGCAUAAAUUAUUAUCAGAUACGUAAUUCGGCAGUGAUGUAUUCUUUCCAAUCCUCCGUCUAUCUUUGCCAGAAUCUCGUAGAAUAAUAUACAUAAGAAACUUUUGAAGUAUGGAAAAUUGACACGUUUGGUGUGACCGUACGUACAUCUUUACGUCUUCUACAUUUAUGCGUUGUUGUGAACGGAAACUGUUACCGCUUGAAUAAAUAUCAGAUUCGAGAUAGGAAAGGGGCUUGCAUUGCUGCAGGGAAUGUGAAUAUUUCACGAAAGUAAGCGCUUCAACAUAUAUUAAAAAAAAGCAUAUUAGAAAUAUAAUAUCGAAAAUGGAUUUUUGUGUGGAAUGAAAUAGGGAUAACGUUCUCAUUUUCCUGUCCUCGUAUCUGUAGCCAUUAAUUUAAUGAAUAAAUGUAAUGUAAAAGAAUAACGAGAGCAGUGAGGCAUGAUAACAUUCUAUCGUAUCACGCGAUGUUAUUACAUCGAAGAACACACUUUAAUGUGUGCACGCGUUGAAUCAUGCUUUGUUGGCUGUGCUUUUACUGGCGAUUCAAAGGCUGAUCAACUUCAAAAACGCUAUACUGUAUGCCAGAGUAUACUCAGAUUAUACUGUAUGCUCGGAUCGUCUAUAAGCAUCGAAAAAUCGUUCGAUGUUGUACAUGUACUGAAAAUACUUCACUACUAGCACUGACGUCAUAUAGACGAAUCACCGAAAAUUGUCAUAAGGCGAACCCGGCCACAUGCUGAUAAAUCAUAAGCCUAUCUCUCAACCGAGGAACAGUUGUCAUACGUGUUAUGGUCAUCACGUUUCACGGUAAUCCUUGCGAGACAUCUCACUGGAUCAUCCAGCAGCGGCUGAAUGAUGCGUAUUGCGAAACAUGCACGUCGAUUGAUCUAAUAUACGUUGCGUGAUAACGAUAAGAGAAUUGGUCGUUCGCAUGAGGGAUGAUAAAAUGUAUGUCCUCUGAAAUGGCAAUUUAUCAAACGUACUUACGCGUUGAGCGAUCAACCGUGUUCGCCUUUCAAAGAUUGUAAUUUUGGAGGCAGAAAACGAUCAAAAGGUAUCCGUCCAUAUUACUUUGCGCGAUAGCGAACAAUUUCCUUUAAAAAUUCAGAACUUUCACCAAGUGUAUAUCACGUUUAUCCAUAUCUAACGAUCUAUAAUAUCCAUAAUGUCGCCGAGAAAAAAUAUUUCAGCUAUGAAAAGAAAUGUCUUGAAAUAAAAAGAAGGAGAAAUGAAGGGAAUGAAAGUGAACGCGUAGACUGGCGAGGAUUAAAGAUAUUGGUAGAGCAAGAUUUAUAGAAGUGUGCCGAAGAGAGAAUUCAAGUUGGAACUUACUUUUGUGAAAUCUUCCAAGGAUAAAUCCAUGAUUUUAGUUAAGAUCAAGGAUUAUCAAAUAGAUAUUGAUCUUACCUAUAAGAUAUUCUCCAUUAACAAAGCAAAAAAUGAAGACUUCCACUACUAAGCAAUCAUACUUUUUACCAAGAUAACCAUCUCUGCGCCAUUAUACACGGACUGUUUCAUUGAGUAACAGAGGCGAAUAAGUUUCUUUGAAUUCAAUUUCGCAUUAAUCUCACAGAUAUGCAGACAUACUUAUUAUCACAAUGAGAAAUUCCAAGCCAGCAUUACUACGGUAUUUCAAAUGAGCUGCAUUAAUGCGAUAAAGGAGAAAAGUUCUUCGAUAUCCUUCAUAGAAGGGAAUGAUUUUGCUGCAUCUUUUCAGUAUUGACCGCAAAUGUGGAGAAUCCGUAAGCGAGAGUUUUUACGGGAACUUUUAUAAACUCUCGACACAUCAUAUCGAUUUGACCUCUUAUAUUAGCUCCUCAUAUUCGUGUUACACGUUCCAUAAUUCUGCGUGACAGAUAUUUAAUCUCAUUCUUCGAAUGGCGGAUUUCAACAAAACUAAAAUCACGAAGCGGCGCAACGGUUUAUCAGCGAUGCAUCCAACGUCUGCUCAACUUGAAAAACGUCAAACUAUAAUUGAGAGUCAUGGUCAAGUCAUCCAUGAAAUUGGACAGGAGCCCCAAAAUGCAUGAUUGUAUACUGAUAAUACUGUAUGAUCAAUAUGCUCGACACGUAUAUGAGCGAAUGAACGGUCGAAUGCGGCAACUCUGGCCACACGCCGAGCAAUGUAAGACCCAUUUUGAGUGGUGGACUUAUGGCAUUCCCGUUCACUAUUCCACACGGUAACUCGGAAUCCAGAAGAAGCUAAGCGCGACAGAACAGAGAGAACUUGGAAUUGCAUUAACAAUUCCUGAUACACGGGAGCACGAAGAUCAGUAUCGGCGCAUUCUGAGCUACUCUGCAUAAUACACUGAAAUUACCUGGCGAUCCUCCAGCGCUCAACAUGGUCCACCCCUUUCCCCCCUCGAGUGACUAUCGAUCAAUUGCAAUUAUGUGCCGCACAGUCUAACAGUAAUUUGAGUAUAGCGCUUAUUAUCGGUCUGGAUGUCCUGUAAUUGCAUCAAGACCGAUGUACUUGAUCCGAUGGCCGUGAGCUAGAAUGUAGCUCAUAUCACGCGAUGGAUGAUAACAAGUUCUUUCAGCGGAUUUUAAAUUUUCUGCCGCUUUGACAAGUUAGACCCAUGGAAAUGGAAAUACUGCCCUCGUAAUAUGCGGCUGAUCUCCGACGAAGUUGUUCAACGUAAACGGUAACUUGGUCGAUAGGUACCGAGUUCACGGUACUCAUGCCUAUCAACAACCGUCAACAAUCUCGAGGCUACGAGGAGAUGAAGACCGGCAUACAUACUCUAUUGAUAUUACAUAGCGUAGAUUUUACGAGGAAGCGAACGAUUUCGAAUUUAUUAGUUUUCUUUUGCAAACUUUCUUUUUUGAUGUAACAAUAUCGUCCAAUCAAUAAGGAAUAAAUCUGUUUCGUAUUUUACACGAUUUGUAAAGCUUAUUUUGCACGCGGUGGUUCUAUCGAGAGAACGUUCGUAAUUAUGCAAUAAGUAUUCUAACCGAAUAAUAUUAAAUUGUGUCCGUGGUUCAAUUGUAGGUCUUAAAAGAGGUAAAUGAGAACAUUAUAUCUCUCUAACUGGCAUCGAAUUAUCUAAUGGCGAGUAAUUUCCUUUAAUGAUUCACAGGAUAGCAUACGGUACAUCUACUUUAAAAACAAUCUCGAAAAUCUCAAAAACCAAGAACAAUUUGUGAAAAUUGGAUAUAACAAACGAACACGGUUGUCAAAAGUAUUACAGUAUAUGUAAAAGUUUAAAAAAGAAUUACACAUGUUCUAAAAUUUUGUUGAGAAAUUAUAAUAUAAAAAUAUAAGCUUUUUAAUGUGUGCAAGAGAAGGAUUUUUGAAAUACAAUAGCAUCGCAACCACAUGUUUCGUAUCAAUACAUUGCAUGCAAGACUGAGAUAUAUGAUACCGAUGCUUUCAUUAUCUAAAAAAAGCAUCGACGUUGCGAAAGGGAGAACUAGAAAAGAACUGAAAGGUGAAAGGGCAGACUAUUCAUCACAAAAGAUAGAAGCAAUAUUUACUGAAUGAACUUUUAAUAUUGCCAACGUUUAAAAUACAGUAAUGAAUGUCUUGGAUGUUUACUUACCUUAAGGCAAAGGUAUUCUCCAGCGAAACAAAUUAUGAAGGCUUCUAUCAUUAUGGCAGUGUAAGCGAAAA